rnacentral:rRNA from 1 species
AACACGUGAGUAACCUGCCCUUAACUCUGGGAUAAGCCUGGGAAACUGGGUCUAAUACCGGAUAGGAGCGCCCACCGCAUGGUGGGUGUUGGAAAGAUUUAUCGGUUUUGGAUGGACUCGCGGCCUAUCAGCUUGUUGGUGAGGUAAUGGCUCACCAAGGCGACGACGGGUAGCCGGCCUGAGAGGGUGACCGGCCACACUGGGACUGAGACACGGCCCAGACUCCUACGGGAGGCAGCAGUGGGGAAUAUUGCACAAUGGGCGCAAGCCUGAUGCAGCGACGCCGCGUGAGGGAUGACGGCCUUCGGGUUGUAAACCUCUUUCAGUAGGGAAGAAGCGAAAGUGACGGUACCUGCAGAAGAAGCACCGGCUAACUACGUGCCAGCAGCCGCGGUAAUACGUAGGGUGCGAGCGUUAUCCGGAAUUAUUGGGCGUAAAGAGCUCGUAGGCGGUUUGUCGCGUCUGUCGUGAAAGUCCGGGGCUUAACCCCGGAUCUGCGGUGGGUACGGGCAGACUAGAGUGCAGUAGGGGAGACUGGAAUUCCUGGUGUAGCGGUGGAAUGCGCAGAUAUCAGGAGGAACACCGAUGGCGAAGGCAGGUCUCUGGGCUGUAACUGACGCUGAGGAGCGAAAGCAUGGGGAGCGAACAGGAUUAUAUACCCUGGUAGUCCAUGCCGUAAACGUUGGGCACUAGGUGUGGGGACCAUUCCACGGUUUCCGCGCCGCAGCUAACGCAUUAAGUGCCCCGCCCUGGG